CACGUAGGCACCAAGCGUUGUCCGGAAUUAUUGGGCGUAAAGAGCUCGUAGGCGGCCUGUUGCGUCCGCUGUGAAAUCCCGGGGCUCAACCCCGGGCCUGCAGUGGAUACGGGCUGGCUAGAGGCAGGCAGGGGAGAACGGAAUUCCUGGUGUAGCGGUGAAAUGCGCAGAUAUCAGGAGGAACACCGGUGGCGAAGGCGGUUCUCUGGGCCUGUACUGACGCUGAGGAGCGAAAGCGUGGGGAGCGAACAGG
rnacentral:rRNA from 1 species